rnacentral:pre_miRNA from 1 species
AUCAUACUCCGUUCAUCCGGAAUUACUUGUGCAGAAAUGAAUAUAUCUAGACGUAUCUUAGUUCUAUAUAUAUUCAUUUUUAUCCAUUUGUAUGACAAGUGAUUCGGGAUGGAGAGAGUAGAUG